rnacentral:lncRNA from 1 species
CGAGGUCUUGAAUCCUGCUGUCCUUAGAGGCCAUAGACGUCUCGACCCCAGCUGCCCUCUUGGCCUCCUCGAGCCCUUGCAGAGAGAGUCCUCGAGCUAUACUCAACAUCUGGAAAAAAUGAAGAAAAUGUCAAGUGUUAAGCUCGACCAAUAAACUCGAGGCUAAAGUCAAAAGUUCGAAGAUUACCUUCACUGUAAGACCCUCGAGGACCCUCAUCCCAUCCUCGAGCUUGACCUCCUCUUUGUACUUGUUUACGAGCUCAAGAGCGAGGUGGUAAGUCUCAAAGUCCCCGGUGAGAGACGGGUCAUCCUCAAGGUCAACCACUUCAGAAGGAGGCCGAGGAGUGACGACCCGAGGAGUGGGAGACCUGAGGUUCGGUUGCUGAGGGGUCGAGACUGGUGGAUGCGCUCGAGAAGUUUCGCCAGGCCCCCUUGCACCCUCAGGAGUCCCUCGAGGCCUCUUCUUACUUUUCUUCCUCGGGGGCUGUCCCUGUGGAUGAGCAUUCCCCCUUGAGCUUACAAAAUUCCGAAGGGCCCGAGGAUCAAAAGACAUACCUGCAAAAAUUUAUCAACAUUUUAGAAUGAGCACAAGGUCAGGGUAUUUUUCAAAAAAUAAUAAUAAUUAAACAUCCCUACCCUCGACGCCUCUAAUAUCUGCCAGGUCUAUAACCUCUUCCCCAAUCUCCUUCAUCGUCGAGAAAAGGGGGCUGAGCCCGACCAGCAUCCUCCUAUGCUCUUCCAAAACAUCCGGAUACACCUGGCCCUCACAGAACUUCUCGGCGUCGGGGAUUCCCAAAUCAGGCCAGAAAGGAAGAUCGGGUUCUUGGGCUAUAACAUAAAACCACCCCUCCCUCCAUCCCUUCAAGGAGCUUGC